AUUACCUUUCAGAGUUUCCCAGGAGGACUAAGCUCCAGCUGCGUGCAAUGGAGCAAAGCCUAGGAGAAAUGCGGAGGAGAAGCGAGUAAAUUCAAUUCCCCUUUAUCCGAUUACAGUGCGAUGGGUGAGCAGGAGUCAGUGGAGAGAGCACAAGCUUUGGAAUCAGGGGCCGGCACGGUGGCGCAGCGGUUAAGUUCGCACGUUCCCCCUCUCGGCAGCCCGCGGUUUGCCUGUUCGGAUCCUGGGUGCGGACAUGGCACCGCCUGGCGAAAGUCAUGCCGUGGAACUUGGGGAGAAACAACCAGAGCAACAGCACCAGCAUUCAACACUCAUAAAGGAGGAGCUUCUGCCCGCCUGCCCUCUGACCUCUGGAGAAAGAUGAAGUUCAGGGGGCAGAGCCAAGACAUCGGCACUGACAUCUGCGCUUCCUAUGCCGACAGUAUGCUGGUAUUCUAUGGUUAGCUUAUUGUUUAAAAAGCCAUUUUCACCUACCCCAUGCAACAUUUUUUUUCCUGAAAUUUGGGAACCUCAGUAGAAUUUUAUGUUAAGAUUCUGAGUAAAUCCUCUGAGCCAUCUGACCAGGAGCCAAGUCAGAAGCAGGUAAUUCCAUGUUAUCUACCCGGAUCUCCUUCAGAAGAGCUUAUAGACAGAGAAAGUGUUUAAAAUUGAUAAAGCGUGAGCUGCUUUCUUUUACUGGCAAG
rnacentral:lncRNA from 1 species